CAAUAGCGUAUAUUUAAGUUGUUGCAGUUAAAAAGCUCGUAGUUGGAUUUCGGUUAAGAGCGACCGGUCCGCCGUUUGGUGUGCACUGGUUGGUUUUAACUUCCUGUAGAGGACGUGCUCUGGGUUUAACGACCUGAACUCGGAGUCUACGUGGUUACUUUGAAAAAAUUAGAGUGUUCAAAGCGGGCUUACGCUUGAAUAUUUCAGCAUGGAAUAACACUAUAGGACUCCUGUCCUAUUUCGUUGGUCUCGGGACGGGAGUAAUGAUUAAGAGGAACAGUUGGGGGCAUUCGUAUUUCAUUGUCAGAGGUGAAAUUCUUGGAUUUAUGAAAGACGAACUUCUGCGAAAGCAUUUGCCAAGGAUGUUUUCAUUA
rnacentral:rRNA from 1 species